rnacentral:rRNA from 1 species
UGGGGAAUCUUGCACAAUGGGGGCAACCCUGAUGCAGCGACGCCGCGUGAGCGAUGAAGGUUUUCGAAUCGUAAAGCUCUUUCCUAUGGGAAGAUAAUGACGGUACCAUAGGAGGAAGCCCCGGCUAACUACGUGCCAGCAGCCGCGGUAAUACGUAGGGGGCGAGCGUUGUCCGGAAUUACUGGGCGUAAAGGGUUCGCAGGCGGCCUGGCAAGUCCGACGUAAAAGGCGAAGGCUCAACCUUCGUAAGCAUCGGAAACUGUCAAGGUUGAGUGAAGGAGAGGCGAGUGGAAUUCCUAGAGUGGCGGUGUAAAGCGUAUAUAUAAGGAGGAAUACCGGUGUGGAAGACGACUUGCUGGACUUCAACUGACGCUGAGAAACGAAAGCGUGGGUAGCAAACAGG